CACGACCUGAAUCUUCUAGGGUGGAGUAAACAAGGGCCCAGACAUAAUAAAAUAGGGGGUGUAAUCAUCAAUAGAUAUUAUGGAUCAUUUAUUUACAAUGUCGGCCGAGUUAUUGAACAUAGGGUAUAAAUUGUUUCUCAUUUAUCUAGUGUUUCAUACGAUCGACUCUGUUGUGGUAUAGACCACUACGUCAAGGUUUCAAUUUAUUUUUAAAGAGAAAGUAAAAAAAAAAAUGGGGUGUGGCCAGUCUGCGCUGAAGAGCAUGGGAUGUCACCCUGGCCAAGGUCACGGAAAAGGUCACGGUCAAGGUCACGGGCAUGGCAGACGAGGCUCUAACGAUUCAAAAGGAAGCCAUGGCAAAGGUCGAGGCAGAAAAGGCAGCCAUUAAUGCACUUCCCUAGAGUUUAUAAUUAGCCAAAAUAUUCUGAUCGCUGUACAUAGUUCUCUUAGUAAUUUAAACAAGCUUUAACCCUUUGCAUGAUGCAUAGUCAGUAUACAUGGGACGCGAAACAAGUGUUGUUUCAAAAACAAAACAUUCAUUAAACUAUUGCAUGUGGUAUGUUGUUGUAAUUUAAAUACUAGAUAAUUAAAAUGUACAUUUGUUUUUUUC